AACGGGAUUAAUUGAAAGAUCCUCCGAGCUUAUCCCAAGCAAGAAAAGCGCCUGACUUUCUUUCUACGCCUCUUGGUCACCUGCGCGCCUCCGUUUUCUCAUAAUUCCCUUGCAGAUCUCUUCAUCGAGGCUUCUCUGCCUAGCAUCGUGUUCUCGAAUUCGGCUAGGUCGCCUAGGGAGCCACACGCUGAUGGCCGCUUCAAGACUGUGAACCGAUUGACUCUAUUAAAAUUCUGAGGCAGGCGUGGCGUUCGUCCUGAGCCAAAUUUUCAGGUUCGAUGUCUGAGAGUUAUUGAUUUCACGGGAAGGCUUGCUGGUCCCCGCGAAGGCGCUGGAUCUGUGGGGGUGGGAUUGCGGAGAUGAUGUUAUGAAGAUCAAUUGUGGCAGAUCGUUCCAUGUAACUUGUUGAUGUAGAUGGAUGUAUAGGAUAAUAUCAGGACGAAAGGGCCAGCUAAAUUCUCUGGCCCUUUCGUCCUGAUUCAUCUUUGUCAUCCGACCUUUGCCAUGACAGGUGCGCUUGCAUGGCAGGUCACAAAGAAACAUAAUAAAAAGGUUAUACGUUUUUUGGUUUGAGGGGGAGAUCGCACGGGGAUUUUGCCCGGGGUCUCCCCACCGGUGUGUGCCGUUUACCUGUGCUGCUUUUUCCGCGAUCGUUUAUAUUUUCGCUCUCGACGCCCAUGGUUGCUUACCAGAUGAAAGGGGUAGCUUUGAUACAUCAGCCAACAUUACGGCUCAUGCACUCACAGUUCACAUGGAGUUUGAGGUAUGCUCUUUAUUUCAGAUUUUCCUUUAUCAAUUUAAUUUAUUCAACUAUAGAUUUAAAAAAAAAAAAAAAGAAUUAUUCAACUAUAGAUUUUAGAAGUGCCGGCAAACUAUGUCUCGCAACAGAUUACGAAAAGGGGAAAAGAUUAUCAUAAUUAAUGUUGGAAAUCUUGUCCUUGGAGGGAGCUGCAAACGUCUCAAAUCUAAAUAAUUAAACACAGAUUUAUUCGUCUUUUUUUUUUUUUUUUUGGGGUCAUAUAUUCGUCUUUUAACAGAUUUAAUCAAUUAAACAAACACAAUAUUUGGAUACCAUUUUCAGGUAUUUCAUUCCUAAAGUUUAAUCAAACACACAAUAAUUUCUUUAAAUUUUUUUUUAUGUAAUCAUUAUCUAAAUAAUUAUAAUUUUUCAAUCUUUCAAUCAAAAUAAAAAAAUAAUACAAUUUUUUUUUUAAUUUGAAAUAAAAAUAAUAUUAAAAAAUUAUAUUCAGACUUUUUUAAUUAAAAUAAUAUAUUUUCAAUUUUUUCUCUUAUUUUUCUAAAAUUUAUUAAAAUAUUUUAAUUUUAAUCUUGUCAUUGUUAUUCGCAAAUAUUCUAAGAUGAAGGCGUCAUUUGCUUUCAACUAUUUUUGUCUUAUCUAAUCAUAUAAUAAUUUCUUUAAAUUUCUUUAUAAAAUAAAAUGAACAAUUUAAAAUUUUUAAUUCUUAAAAUAAAAUUAAUAUUAAAAAAUAUAUAUUUUAAUAAUAUUUUAUUUAAUUUUUAAUUUAAAUAUGAAUUUAUCUUUAUCUCUUACGUAAAAAUAAGCACACUAGCGCACUAGCUAGGCGAGACUCAUCUCACUUUGUCAGCCAAACGACCCUAGCCUCUUCCUGUAGAGUAUCUACAUUAGUUUAUGCAUAUAUAUAUAUAUAUAUAUAUAUAUAUGUAAAAUUACAUCUUUUAAAGAUUCAAUUUGCUAUACAAGUAAAAUUUUUACAUUAGCUUAUGCAAUUUUGAGAAAAUAAUAAUAAAAUAUUAUCAUUUUAUUAUUAUUAUUAUUAUUUUUUUAAUAAGAUUUGAUCUUCAAAUAUGUAAAAUAUUUGAGAAAAAUAUUUUUUAAAAAGUGAAUGAGUAAAGUAUGUAAUAAAAUAUAUAAAGGUAAAAUAUGUAGAAAGAGAAUGGGAGGAGAGAAAAAGAAUGAAUAAAAUAUGUUUUGAAAAGUGAAUAGUAAAUUUUUAAACAUGUAAAUGUAAUGUUUAUAACUAUACAAAUAUUUGAAGAUACAUAUAAUCUAAUGUAGAUAAAUUUAGGUUCAUGUAAAUAUGACUGCAUAUAUGACUAUGCAUAUAUAUAUAUAUAUAUAUGCAUAGAUCAAUGUAUGCUCCAGGUUGGCUUUCUAUUUGUCUCUCUGUAACAAAUGUUUUUUUCUAUUGGCCUUUCCGUGGCCAUAAUUACACCGCACUACUAAUUAUAUCUCAAUGACAUCAUAAUUUCUCCGUGGCAUCUCAAAUCUGGUUUCGUAAGGGCUCAACGCCAGCUAUUCACUCGGAAAAUCAGUUAUAAUGUUGCAAUGUUUCCCUCAUAAUUGCCAACUCGUAUUUGUAGCUUGUGCGUCUUUUUAUUUAGUUACUCCGAUAUGGAGCCUGUGAUGUACCUAAUCUUGUAGUUGUGGACCACUUUCUUAUGUUGUGAUAUAUCUUGGGAGUCGAAUAUGGUUUUAAUAUGUACUGCGUAUUUCUACUACGCUUUGAGAUCAUCAACUGUAUUCCUGUAUCAAGUCCUUUAGUGCAUCAUUCGAAGUGCUUGUGUUAAGGUUGUGUUCGCCCUGCAUAUCGACUCUAGCUGAUGAUGUGGAAAGGUGUUGUGCUGCAUGAGAUCUUUCACUGCCAAACGGACUUGAAGUUCGAUUCUUAUGGAAGUUUUGCUGCUUUGGUGUUGCAGCAGAAACCCUAGCAAGCAUGAAGUUAUGCAGGCAUCUGAGGUGAUGAUAACGGGUAAAAGAGUAAUCGGGAUACUCAUUGGUAAUACUUGCCAAUGUCUAGCCAUACUCUCUUAUAAUAGAAAAAACAAUAGCUGAUUUCACCUCAUGAAAAUUCUAGUCAAUGUUAUCAGGCUGCCAGUCAUUUGAUUCAUUGGUAAAAGACCUUAAAUUCCCUUGGGACUGUUUUCUUUUCGAGUCUCGUACCUCUCAUCUUUUGUUAAUAAAAUGAUGUGGUGCCACUAGUCAAAGUUCAAUAGGGACCAAGGAGCUUGCAACGUUGGUACGGUGGUUGGUGAAGAUCUUCGGAGUUGAGAGUUAAAUGUACUGCGUAUUUUUACCACGCUUUGGGCAUCAUUCAAAUUGCUUGUGUUGAGGUUGUGUUCGUCCUGCUUUUAGGUUCUAGCUGAUGAUGUGGAAAGGUGUUGUGUGGAAACACUUGCCAAAGGCUUCAAAUACCCUUGGGGAUGUUUUCUUUCAUACCUCUUAAAUCAACGGGCGAAGGAGCUUGCAACGUUGGUGUGUUAGUUGGUGAAGAUCUUCGAAGUUGUGAUCUGUCUGAAGCUGCUUGAAUAAGUGCUUAACAAGACGUUAUCGUUGGUUAUAGGAGGCGUGAGGACUGAGGAGUGAGGACUACGUAAUGAGCCGUGUUUCACGAGAUCAAUACCAAGAGGCAAGAAGGACUCCUAAUAUGCGUGCGGAUAACGCACACUGACGUGUCAAACAGAGGUCGUCUGAUAUUAUCCGUCGAUUUCUAAAGUCUUUGUCCAAUCUCAACCGUCCGUUUCAUUAUAUAUUGUCAUCAACAACGGGAGGAAUUGAAAGGUCCUCCGAGUUUAUCCCAGGCAAGAAAAGCGCCUGGCUUUCUUUCUACGUACGCCUCUAGGUCACCUGCGUACCUCCGUUUUCUCAUAAUUCCUUUGCAGAUCUCUUCCUCGAGGUUUCUCUGCCUUGCAUGAUGUUCUCGAAUUCGGCUAGGUCGCGUAGGGUGGCACACGCUGAUGGCCGCUUCAAGACUUUGAACCGAUUGACUCUAUUAAAAUUCUGGUUUGAACUUCGAUAGGUCGAGGAUCUUCGUUCUGAGAUAUCUACUUCAAGAUCUGUGAAAUGAUCGCUUCGAUUUACGGGAUCCGCUUCCGUUUCGAUUCUAGGGCGUGGUGAUCGUCCGGAGACAAUUUUUCAGGUCCGGUGUCUGAGAGACUGAGAGUUAAUGAUUUCACGGGAAGGCUUGCUGGUCCCCGCGAUGGCGCUGGAUCUGUGGGGGGUGGGAUUGCGGAGAUGAUGUUAUAAAGAUCAAUUGUGGCAGGUCGUUCCAUGUAACUUGUUGAUGUAAAUGGAUGUAUAGGAUAAUAUCAGGACGAAAGGGCCAGAGUUUGAAUUUGGCUAAUGAGUCCUGAUUCAUCUUUGUCAUCCGACCUUUGCCAUGACAGGUGCGCUUGCAUGGCAGGUCACAAAGAACCAUAAUAAAAAAGUUAUACGUUUUUUGGUUUGAGGGGGAGAUCGCACGGGGAUUUUGCCCGGGGUCUCCCCACCGGUGUGUGCCGUUUCCCUGUGCUGCUCUUUCUGUGAUCCUUUAUAUUUUCGCUCUCGACGCCCAUGUUUGCUUACCAGAUGAAAGGGGUAUCUGAGAUACAUCAGCAGCAUUACGGCUCAUGCACUCGCAGUUCACAUGGAGUUUGAGGUAUACUCUUUAUAUCAGAUUUUCCUUUAUCUAUUUAAUUCAUUCAACUAUAGAUCUUUUAAAAAAAGAAUUAUUCAACUAUAGAGUUUAGAAGUACCGACAAACUAUAGGUUCAUUGCAUCGCAUGUUUCGGAGCAGAUUUUAAGAACGGAAAAGAUGAUCUUAAUGUUGGAAAUCUUAUCCUUGCCAGCUGCAUGAGACGUUCGUCAAAUCUAUUGACUAGACGUAUACAAGAAAAUGCUCGGCCCAUACUAGUGUGCCCGUGAAAACUACCCUAAAUACACCAAACCCUAAAUACACCACCUCCCCAAUCCCAUCCCUUGUUUGCCGUACAACUAAUUCAAAUUCCUGUACAGACUGUCUUCACAAUGCCUUAGUCUUCCCAUGACUUGAAUUACCUCCCUUAGUGUUGUAGUUAAUUGUCCAUGAAAGAUCGCUUUAACUCCAUUCUUUUCUUGAAACUUGAUUUGGCUUCAAGUGCAUGGCUUGCCUCAAUCACAGCGAAACAUCCUGCCAUCGUCCUCCUUUCUUUCUUUUUUUAUUUUUUUAUUUUUUUCUUAUUAUUAUUAUUAUUUUUUUAAUCUCAUUUGCAAAAUAUUGUUGUAAAUUUCUCUUAUUUUUUAAAAUCCAAUAAAACGUAUUAACUUAAAUCAUUUAGUUGUUAUUUGCAAUAUUCUAAAAUAUUUGAAGUGUCCAAACGAGAUCUUAAGUUCCAUGUAUUAGCUAUCAGAUAGCUUUUCUAUUUGCCUUCCCUCUAACAAUUGUUUUUCAAAGUAAUUAUAUAUAUUCUAUAUAUUCAAUCCAAUGAACAAGCACAUAAGCAAGACGAAUUGAUUUGCCUUUCAGUGAUCGCAAUCACACUGCACUACUAAUUAUAUCUUAAUGACAUCAUAAUUUAUCCAUGGCAUCUCAACUUUGGCUUCGCAAGGCUCAAAGGCAGCAAUUCCUGUAAAUACUCGAAAAGUCAGUUAUAAUGUUGCAAUGUUUCCCUCAUAAUUGCCAAAGCGUGCAUCUUUUUAUUGUUACUCCGAUAUGGAGCCUGUGAUAUGCCUAAUCUUGUGGUUUUGGACUACUUUCUUAUGUUGUGAUAUAUCUUGGAAUCGAAUAUGGUUUACUUGAUUUAUUUGUUGUAUCACCAAUUUUCGAUCUUUUGGGAGGACUAUAUAUUAAUAUGUACUGCGUAUUUUUACUACGCUUUGAGAUCAUGAACUGUAUUCCUGUAUUAAGUCCUUUUGGGCAUUCAAAGUGCUUGUGUUGAGGUUGCGUUCGUCCUGCAUAUCGAUUCUAGCUGGUGAUGUGGAAAGGUGUUGUGCCACAUGAGGUUUUAGGCUGCCAAAGUGACUUGGAAGUUAGAUUCUUAUUGGAAGUUUUGCUGCUUUGGUGUUUUUCAGUUGCAGCAAGCAUGAGGUUAUGCGGCGUCCGAGGUGAUGAUACCUAGUAUGAUACAAAAACUAGAAUCUGAACCUUUUCAUUCCGGAGUUCAUUCUUUAUCUUCUUUGGCUCCUAAUGGCGGUUGUGACUACCUCAAUUUAUUUUUCAGAGUAAAAUGAUAAAUUUAUUUUCAGCAUUCAUUAUAAUACUCCAUAUUUUUUUUAACUUCAUUGUACUGUUUGAGGUUUGGUUAGUUGUGUUCCAUUAACUUUAUUUUUUAUGCUAUCAUUAGAUUGCCUUGGUUUGUCGGUAAAAUUGUGUAUUAAUUUAGUAUUUUAAAGUUACGAUGUUUUGAUGAAUUCGUUAACCAAGCAAGCAUGGUACAAGUCUGAAAACUUGCCAGAUGUCUAGCGAUACCUCUAAUCUUUUGUUUACUUAAAUAAUUUGGGACCGAGGAGCUUGCACAGUUGGUAUGGUAGUUGGUGAAGAUCUUCGAAGUUGUGAUCGGUCUGAAGCUGCUUGAAUAAGGGCUUAACAAGACGUCAUCGUUGGGGCAUUCCAAAUGCAAUUUCUUCAUAUGGGUAGAUGAUUAUAAAGAAAGACAAAAUGAACUUCCAAAAAAAUUGGAUGUGAUUCAGGAAAAAAGAGUAUGGAGUCUUCAAAAGGGAGUUUGAGGUUCAGAAAAAGGAGGAAUGAAGUCUUGAGAAAUGAGUAUUAGCUUCAAAAAAGGGAGGAUGGGCUAAUAAAAAUGAAAAAUGAUGACCACAGGAAGAAUUGGAUUUCAUGGAUACAAAUAUCUUCUCUAAAAGUUGAAGGGGUUCUUAGCCUUCAAAAGAGAGUUUGAAGUUCAGAAAAUGGAGUGGAGAUUAACUACGAUAGUCAUUUACAACCUAUUUGGCAACACUGAGGGGGAUUUCUCAAAAGAGCCUUCUGCCAUAAUAUAGGAUUCGUAACCAAGAGUUAUGGUGAAUAAAUGUAAAGGCAAUGUAUUCGAGAAUGCUUGGUUGUAAACAUUACUCUCUUGGUUGUAAAUAUUCUAAACUUGAGAAUGAAUAAUCAGUUUCAAUUUUGCAUUUUAUCUUCA